rnacentral:lncRNA from 1 species
GACAAAACUAUGGUAAUCUAAUUAAUUACAUUUUCUGAAUACAUUCAUUGUUUCAUGCAGGUUUUUUAUUGUUGAUUUGUAGUAUCAAGGAGUGGUGCUGAGGCUUAUGUUAAGACCUGUAUGCCUUAUGCCUCACAGCAAACUGGUAGCCUUACAAACACUUGCAGAGGCAAUUGGUAACUAAAGAAUAAUUAAGGUUGGAAGGGGCCUUUGGAGAUUGUGCGGUCUAAUGCAACUGCCUGUACUACAGAGUAAAACUCAUCUUCCUUUGUUCAAGCAUUUCAGGUUUCUGUUACAAUGAAUGACAGUUAUUAAUGGAAAAGAUGAUGCCAAACUAUGCAACCUGGUCUAGAGGGAGGUGUCCUUGCCUGUAGCGGGGGGGGUUGAACUACAUGGUCUUUCAACCCAAACCAUUCUAUGAUUUGAUGGCUAUCAUAUGAAACUGUAAUAGUGUUAAAUGCUCAAAGAACACAAAUGUAUGUGUUAUUAAGUGUUGCAUCAGGAACGCAGCUGGAGUUUAAGGUGAUGUUCCAACUACUAGAUAAUGAAAGUUUCCACUUGGAAAAGUUAUAUGGUAGAGACUUGGAGCUAUCUUUUCUACUUAGCUUCAGCUUCGUAUCAAAUGAGGCAGCAUAAAACUAAAUUGUAAUCCCCUUUUAAGGUAGGUAAGUUAGCUGAGUGCAUGUCUCCAGGUGCUGUGACUCCAGGAGAUGUCCCCUUGGCACAAACCUUAGGGGCCUGAUGAGAGCUUGCACUGUGCUCUGCAGCUGGUGCUUUUAGCAGGGACAUAGACUGCUUCACUGGGGGUCCUGGAGAUUUUGCCUUAAGCAACCUGCACAGAGCUCAAAGUCUGCAGAGCGUCUUGGGGUAGAGGAGGUGUGAGAUGCCUGCUCUGCUCGGGGAACCUCCCAAGGGCAGUAGCUGUACCUUGUGGAGAUGCUGGAAGAACAGGUACAAUUUACUGAGCAACAGGCAGCUGGUAAGUAGUUAGUUAUUGAUAGUUGAUAGUUAUGCUGCAGGAAUGGGUCCCACAGGGCUUUGUGCAGGGCCUGCUGUUCUCCAGCAUUUGUAUUCCACCAAGGUAGGUACAAUCAUAGCCCAAUAAAGACUGUAUUGAAUGCCAAGCAUAUGUGAGCUCCAGAUGCAUUGGAGGGUAGACUUGAGAACAAUACUGACAAAGAAGAAAAGUAGUCCUGUGAAAAGGUGUUUGAUGAGAACACGCAGCAGGUGCUGCCCUAGCAGGAACAGUUGGUUCUUCCAAUGCUGCUGGAGGUUUUCCUGGCUGGCAAUGCACAGUGCUGCUGGGGAUGUGGGAAGGAAAGUCCUCGAAUUAUUAUCUUAAUGAAUGUAGCUAAAAAUCAAUCUACUGCUUUCCUCAAAACAUUUUUUGGUGUGUUUGUCUGUACACAUAAAAAUGCAUGAAGAGUGAAAUCCUCAUCCUGGGCUUGGGCUCUAUGUUUUAACCUUGGUAUGCCUGUUGACCCUGUUCAAAAGGUUAAUAUUUUCAGAUGCUCUCUGCCACAUAUUUCAUACAGUGUUACUGGUGAAUAAAGGGAAUUAAAGAGAAAAAAACACAGCGUAAAAGAGUAAGAGAAAUUUAUUUUUAAUAAGAAUAUCAAUGACUUCAUUUACACAAACUAAAUGACCAUUAAUACUUUUAUUUAAAUAAAUUCAUGUUUAUGCACAAAACCACUGCAAAAUAAGCUAGCAACCUGUCACAGGAAAACUGUACUAGAAACCUAAUUCAAUUUGCUUCCAUGCUAAAAAUCAUAUUAAAGAGGCAUUUGAGAUAAACGUCCGAAGUUCAUAAUGUUCUACCAGACAUAAGUUAAAGGAUUUCUAACUGUCAAAACUAUAACAAAAGCCACGUUGAGAAAAAAUCACAUGAAGCCAAGUUUCCUCACAAGAUUUUAAGCAGUCUGUAACAUCAAACUCACUAACGCUGAUCUGAAGCUUUGGCUUAAGCUCAAAACAAGCAUCCAUUUUGAAAGUAGCCAGACUGUGUUCCAUUUUGUUUACCCUUUUGAUGAAGUUGUGCACGUCUCAGUCUGGUGAACAGAGCAAUGCAACAUGCAGACUGACAAGUGCUCAUUAAGACAGCAAGAUACCGCCACAAGUGUGCUGCUCUUUUCUUGAAGAAAUGUUAAGAAGAUGCAAGAAAACAUGCUGAAUCAAAGCUCAGAGAGAUGACUGGCUCUCGAUGGUUAAGCAGAUAUAAUGCAGUUGGAAGAACUAUGCCCCAGAACGAAGGACAAAAUUUGGAACAAGAAGUACCUACUCAUCGUGUGUAGUGUAAGAAACGAGAUUCAAGCUAGCAGCUGUGAAAUGUGGACUGAAGGCAAGAGCUCUCUAUCCUAUGGCACAUCUUUAAUCAAUUGCUGGAAUUGUAUUCUUUCGCAUAAGGCUGUAUCUUGACUGAAACUUGUGCUGUUCAGUCAUAAAUAAUUUACCUUCCCUUCUUUUUGAGGGAAAGAUACGGAGGCAACAUUAUUGGAGGUUCCCCCCCUUCACGGUCCACUUCCCUUUUUAAUUAGCUUAUGCUGUUGAAUCUUAUCAAACCACAGAGAGCAAGCCAUGGAACAUAUUUUUAAACUGAAGCCUUUCCAGCUACAAUGAUCAGCUUAAAUGGGCAGCUGUGAUCAGCUUAGUAUCUAUAUGAAUAACCAAGUGUCUCUUCCUGUCCUUGUUAACUCUGCUGACUAACUGGAGGGCAAUGCCACCCCUAGCAGUGAAGGAGAUAUAAAAGCUUUUUUGGGGUGACAAUAAGUUAUUCUAAUUUCACUAGGAAAUAAAUCAUGUGCAGACACCCCUGAUCGAAGGGCACCUGGUAUAGCUGAUAGACAGCUGGUGUAUGGACUAUUGUUGGCAGCAGAAAUCUCGAGGUCCAUCUGUCUGCUGUGGCACCGAGAGAGGAGUUGGAAACCAAAAGAUAGAUAGAAAACUUUGAACUGAAAGAAGUAAGAGAGACUGGGCGACUUCUGGAGAGAAGUUAAAUUAGUUAAAAAUUCUUUUGGUCACAAUGUUACAGAACAUAGAGUGCUAUGACUCAUUUACUGGCAUGUGGUUCCUAUAGCAUACAAAAUACCUGAUGAUAAAAUGGCAUAUCCAAAAUGCAAAUACAGAGAGGAAAAUUUUCUCCAAGGAGGCAGUUUUCCAAAACCCACAAAACUUUGUUGCACAUGUUGGGUGUUGAGGGAGGUCUAGAAACCAUGGCCUGGGCAAGUCUCUGAGCGAGGCCUUCAGGCUAACACUGAAGCUCUUCUUCACUCUCAGGAAGUCGGGUGCCAGCCAGAGAGCUCUGAGCGCUGGCGUGGGCUGUGGAGCUGAGAACUUCUUCAAAACUGCCCCCAGUGUGGCUCGUUCCACCAACCUUGGUCUGUAACAAGGCAAAGAAAGAGAACAGCUAGUUCCUCUACUCACACUGUAGCAAGUCCCAUCUGUGUUUCACCCCACGGCUGCAGAGAGCUGAGAACUGUGAAAAGCAGGCAGAGCAUGGUGGUGGUGGUUGUUUUUAAAGAGCAAAAGUUGCACAAAUCAUCAAAUAAAGUAUCCCCUUCUCCAAUUUUUAAACUUCUCAAUCAGAAUCAUCAACCUUCCUGUGGAAUCCAUGCUAAACUCAAAGGAACAAACCCAAAGGUGGAUUCCAGUUAGGAUCAUAUAUCCUGCCAGUGAACUUAGUGUGGUUCUUUACAUGAGUACCUCAUGCUUGUUUCUCUGUUUUUCCAGUUCUGCACAGACUGAUGGGCACUGAAAGGAACUGGUAUUUUUGCUGAGUUAAGUGGUCCAUCCCCCAGCAUCAGUAACAUAGCUUCUCUCCAGAUAUGUGAACUCUGGGGUAGUUUUGGGCUACAGAAGGAAUUUUGUAACCAAGUGACCAAACCAACAACUUGCCUCCCUUACAAUGCCUGUAGGUAUCUAGUAUUGAUAUGCAAAACUGCCCACAGCAUUCUCCUAGGAGAAAAAAGAUCCAAUUACAUUAAUGAAACACAGGACUACUCACAGGUCAUCUACUUUCAAAAAGCUAUAGUUCACUGAAUGUGUAAAUAUAAGUACUAAAACACACUAUCACUUAAAGUCUGAAACAGAGUUUUCCCAAUCAAGGAAAAAGAAAAAAAAAAAAAAAAAGAAAGAAAAGAAAAAGCUUUAUCUAAAGAUUUGGAAAUGGCCAAGACUGUAAGAGAGACAAAGCUCAUUUGAGAGGGUAGUCUUGCUAAGAGAACAUUAUUUUGUGGUUUACCUUGCUGAUUGCCUUGCUGAUGCCUGCUUUAAGCUGAUUCAAGUCUGAAAAGAGGGCAAAACUUUCUUACUCCAUUCCAGAACUGCAAUAGGAAUUAAAGAAAAGCUGGUAUUUUUCCAGCUUGCCAGUCACCAAAUGCUUAGGAAGAUUAUUUUAAUCAAAUGAACACUGUGCCCUAAGUUUCCAAAGGGUUAAUCCUAUGUAAUCCUUUGUUUCAUCAGCAAGCACAGGAGCUUGCCUAGCUUGAAAGUUCAAUAAAACCAGGUAGUAGAAUGUUGGAUUUGUGCUCUGACAGUUUGAGUCACACUUACUAAAAGUUCCUGUCUCGAGGUAGAAGUCUGUAUCCAUUCUGUAAGUCAGCGGAGCCUACUAGGAGAUAGUUUAUCACCGAUUUUUGCAAGUAACAGUACUAUAUAGGUAUGUAUGUAUGUAUGUAUGUAUGUUAUUAAAUAUAUAUUAUUUGCUGGUUGGUCGAGAACUUGCAAGGAAAAGGCAGCAACUGCUUAGUAAAGCUAUUAUUAAGUUUUCACUGCAAAGCUCAUGAGUUUGUUUCCCAAUUUAAAAAGUCUCCACAAGAACAUUGAUUCAAACUGAUCAGAGUAGGUGUGAAGGAAGAGACUACUGCUGCACUAUUUCAAAUAAUUUGGAUAAGCUGCAUCUGAACUGAGGCACACAAAAAUACUAAACAUAAAUGUAGUUUUAUUUUCUGUUUGCUUCUCUGCCUACUCUUCCAUGAGAAAACAAGAAUGACGCGAGUCACUUUACUAAAUGCUUCUGUCAAGGCCGCCGGUAAUUGAAUACAGG